rnacentral:rRNA from 1 species
UAAUUGAAGAGUUUGAUCAUGGCUCAGAUUGAACGCUGGCGGCAGGCCUAACACAUGCAAGUCGAGCGGCAGCACAGAGGAACUUGUUCCUUGGGUGGCGAGCGGCGGACGGGUGAGUAAUGCCUGGGAAAUUGCCCGGUAGAGGGGGGAUAACCAUUGGAAACGAUGGCUAAUACCGCAUAACCUCGCAAGAGCAAAGCAGGGGACCUUCGGGCCUUGCGCUACCGGAUAUGCCCAGGUGGGAUUAGCUAGUUGGUGAGGUAAGGGCUCACCAAGGCGACGA